AGACACUCCAUCAGGGCGUGGCCAUCUUCAAUUCUGUGGCUGGAGUUGCAGAGGUUCCUCCAAAUUUCCAAGUUGGAAUUCCGACAUCAGGGGGCAUCCCAGAUGUUAAUCCAUAACCUUGCUUGGCAGCAGCACAGACGUCACACAUAC